ACCGAACGUUUUUCCAAACGCCAGGGUCAAGAAUCGAAUCGUCUUUUAAAAAUAUUUCUCGUCUCCUACCAACGUGUCAAUCGUUGAAACGCGUGAAAUUCAUGCGAAGAUAUAACUUCAAAAUGGACACGGUUAUCGUAUUUUUAAUAAGGCUGUCAAGUUGGCAACAACUCUGGAAAUGCCAAAGUGCCAAAUUUCAGUCGUUUCGGCAAUAAUAACGUUCCAGUCCCCGGUCGGUAGUCCACGUCUAUAAGCGGUUAACGAGUAAUUAGAUUCCAAAGCGCACGUCCGGCCCUCGUCUGGUUGGCGAGUCCACGGUGUGCACGUUAAGGAAUAAUUAUAAAGCAAUACGGUGAAUCGGCAAUCGACCACGAAGCUUACAGUAAACUAUAUGAUAUUCGAUAUAAUAUUUUAUAUUACGUACAAUACUUUUGCGAAUCGAU
rnacentral:misc_RNA from 1 species